rnacentral:rRNA from 1 species
AAAGAAUUAUUUUGGUAGUAUUAUUUUAUAAAUAAACCAAUAUAUUUUGGCGGCAUUUUAUUUUAUUAGAGGAAUAUGAUUAUUAAUCGAUAAUCCACGCUAAUUUUUACUUUUAUUAAAAUUUUAUAUACCGCCAUUAUAGAAUUAAUAAAAAUAUUUUUUCAAAAUUUUUAUUUAUUUAAAAAAAAAUAGGUAAAGGUGUAGAUUAUAUAAAAGAUCAAUUGUAUUACAUUAAAAAUAAUUUAAGGCUCUUAUAUAAAUUAUAUUAGUAAAAAAGAAUUUAUAAGUAUUUUUUAAAAAUUAUUUAAAAUUGAAAUAAAUUAAAAAUGUGC